UUCUCCUGUGCAAUGCUUGGGGACCCCCCACCUCUAUCCCCUCACCGGGCUGUGGGGACAGGAGGGAGAGGGCUGCCGCAAGUGGUCGUUGGUUCUCAGGGCUCCUGUCAGCCAGCAGAACCGCUUACAACCCUUGAGCUCUUCUUGGCGUUCUGGAGUAGAAUUCGAGUUGGAUAUGCUUCGCUGCUGGAAGCCGUUGUGGCACGUCAGUGCCAGCUGCUGGGUGGGACUCAGGUGGUCGUCGCUAGGGGGUAGUCGCUGCAGGAGCCCAGGUUCCCCAAGGCUGUUGGAGUCCAGGCAGAUGAAGGCAUCUUUACAAAGUUUGUGGAAGGUCAUAAGCAGAAAGCUGGAUCGGAAGUAGAGCAACUGGGAUUCAAAUUGCCACCCACAUGGAUACUGGCACCACAGGCAGAGGCUUAACUCACUACUACUCCAUGGCGCUGACCCUCACAAACAUAUCUUUUCACUCCAGUGUUUUGUAAAUUUUUUCCAAAUCCCUUGCUGGUGUGCAGGGAAGACACUCCAGCCUUUGAGGAGGGGGCCCCUGGUCUUGCCCAGUAGCAGCAGCCAACCUCUAUGCCCUAGGGGGUAGCUCACUUCCUUACCCUGAGUAGUCUCAGGUCUGCCUCAAGUAGCAUCCCCUGUUUAUACCCAAGGUCCUUAGACGCCGCCCCCCCAUAAGUGUCUCAUUUUCCAUUGUUUCUCCCUUCCUUCUGUGGUAGUGGGCUGGUACCUCGUGCUUGGUGUCCCCAACCCAGCGUCUAGGUCACUGGUUCCUUUCCCUCCCCUGCGAAACUUUCUCCCCAGGGCCAGGGGAGGGAAAGGAAGACACUUUUUGGCUGUCUCUGGUCUACCCUCCAUGCCAGCAACUCACAGAGUGGACACAGAGGGCACUCACAGUAGGAAGACAUGAGCUGCCUCCGAGGUGAUGCCGUGGU